rfam:Trichoplax adhaerens TRIADscaffold_23 genomic scaffold, whole genome shotgun sequence.
GUAGGCUAUGGUGACAUUUCUCCCAGAACAGGAUUAGGCCAAAUCAUAGGUUCAUUAUGUGCAGUCACUGGUGUAUUAUGCAUCGCUUUGCCGGUUCCAAUUAUUGUCUCCAAU